GGCUUAGUAGUGGACGGUCCACACCCAUAAUUCAUAUCUCGAACUUUGUCAUGACAUUGAUGCGGAAAUCCCCCGUUCGACUCGGGGCUGAGCCA